CCCCUUGCGCAUGCCUAUACAUGCAGUCGAGCGGACAGAUGGGAGCUUGCUCCCUGAUGUUAGCGGCGGACGGGUGAGUAACACGUGGGUAACCUGCCUGUAAGACUGGGAUAACUCCGGGAAACCGGGGCUAAUACCGGAUGGUUGUCUGAACCGCAUGGUUCAGACAUAAAAGGUGGCUUCGGCUACCACUUACAGAUGGACCCGCGGCGCAUUAGCUAGUUGGUGAGGUAACGGCUCACCAAGGCGACGAUGCGUAGCCGACCUGAGAGGGUGAUCGGCCACACUGGGACUGAGACACGGCCCAGACUCCUACGGGAGGCAGCAGUAGGGAAUCUUCCGCAAUGGACGAAAGUCUGACGGAGCAACGCCGCGUGAGUGAUGAAGGGUUUUCGGAUCGUAAAGCUCUGUUGUUAGGGAAGAACAAGUGCCGUUCAAAUAGGGCGGCACCUUGACGGUACCUAACCAGAAAGCCACGGCUAACUACGUGCCAGAGCUAU
rnacentral:rRNA from 1 species